rnacentral:lncRNA from 1 species
AAAAGAAACUCCAUGAUAUGUAUUAUUCAACCAGAUCACUCAACACAAAGACUUUUGUAGCCCAGUGUGAGAGUUUUGACCGUGAAGAUGAUUCAAAUGUUGCAUUCGCUGGCUUAAUAAACUACAAAAUUGGGAAAGAAGGCGUAAAGUGUAACGCAAGCUUCAAAAAGUGACUGAUGCUGAGAGGUUCUUUCCAGACUGGCUUUACCAGGCAGCUGCUACAGGCUUUUGGUGUCAUUUAGUACUGAAGAGGAAAAUGACAGCGCCCUUUUAUACAAUCUCUUGUGUGUGAGGAAUGUUUAGUGAAGAUUUUUAGUCUUUUUUUUUUUUCUUUUUUUUUAUUUUUUUUAAAUGUAUGUUUUACGUCAUUUUGUUACUUUUUAUACAUGCAUUUUUUUGGAUCCCAAUAAAUUAUUUUAUACCGUUUUAUUGAAGUUGUAUUACUGAUUGUUUCAGAAUGAGGUAGUAUUGUACAAGUAUGUUUAAUUUAAGUGAAAAGCUUCUCUGGCAGUUUUAAUCGGAGUAUGUUUUAGCCUAAAUUUAG